AUUGAACGCUGGCGGCAGGCCUAACACAUGCAAGUCGGGCGAGUGGCGGACGGGUGAGUAAUGUAUGGGGAUCUGCCUGAUGGCGGGGGAUAACUACUGGAAACGGUAUCUACUACCGCAUACCAUCAGAUGAACCCAUAUGGGAUUAGCUAGUAGGUAAGGUAACGGCUAACCUAGGCGACGAUCCCUAGCUGGUCUGAGAGGAUGACCAGCCACACUGGAACUGAGACACGGCCCAGACUCCUACGGGAGGAAGCAGUGGGGAAUAUUGGACAAUGGGCGCAAGCCUGAUGCAGCCAUGCCGCGUGUAUGAAGAAGGCCUUCGGGUUGUAAAGUACUUUCAGUCGGGAGGCGUUACCGACAGAAGAAGCACCGGCUAACUCCGUGCCAGCCGCCGCGGUAAUUC
rnacentral:rRNA from 1 species